UUUUUUCUUCUUCUUAU
rnacentral:sRNA from 1 species